ACGACUCUAGAUCAGGACUGUCUUCAGCUGGUUUUGGUAGAGUCCCAUCUAUGAACCCAUUCUUCUUCUUAGCUCUCAGUGCAUUCAUCAUCUCCAUGGCCCAUUCAUUGUAAUUGUCUCCCUUAAGUUGAACGGACGUGAUGAGCGCACCAGGAUUGUCUGAACUGAACAGCGAGUAUGGCGAAACCUUCAUCACCUCACCUUGUUUUACUAUCAAUUGCUUUGAUUCGUC
rnacentral:lncRNA from 1 species